AGAGUUUGAUCAUGGCUCAGAUUGAACGCUGGCGGAAUGCUUUACACAUGCAAGUCGAACGGCAGCACGGGGGCAACCCUGGUGGCGAGUGGCGAACGGGUGAGUAAUACCUAGGAACAUGUCCAGUAAUGGGGGAUAACGCAGCGAAAGCUGUGCUAAUACCGCAUACGCCCUACGGGGGAAAGCGGGGGAUUCGUAAGAACCUCGCGUUAUUGGAGUGGCCUAGGCCUGAUUAGCUAGUUGGUGAGGUAAAGGCUCACCAAGGCGACGAUCAGUAGCUGGUCUGAGAGGAUGAUCAGCCACACUGGGACUGAGACACGGCCCAGACUCCUACGGGAGGCAGCAGUGGGGAAUUUUGGACAAUGGGGGCAACCCUGAUCCAGCCAUUCCGCGUGAGUGAAGAAGGCCUUCGGGUUGUAAAGCUCUUUUGUCCGGAGCGAAACGGGCGCGGUGAAUAUCCGCGCUACUGACGGUACCGGAAGAAUAAGCACCGGCUAACUACGUGCCAGCCGCCGCGGUAAUACA
rnacentral:rRNA from 1 species